rnacentral:misc_RNA from 1 species
GAGAGGUGUUACUUAACGAUAACCUGUGGCUAGAGGAGCUGAGCUUCGUUAUUUACUGUAGUCUAUCAUAUCAGAGAUUACCUACUGGACGUAUACUAGAUCUUUAAUACUACCAGCAUCAAUUAUCUCAUUUCAAGGGAGAACGAUGUGAACAACUCACCUAGUUAAUGUAAAGGCCAUUGGUAUAGUUGACAGCGAGUGAACCACACGGGAAAUGGAGCUUCGCGUAAUUUUGACGCGGCUACUCACAAUCUGGGUGUCAAUGGUUGCAUGGAUAACACCGAUAUAUGGAGCAAAAAAGGCUUCUUUCUUGAAGAAACUGUUCAGGAAUUAUGAUAGUCGAAUUCCACCUGCGUUUGGUUCAGACUCCUCAGGUAAUGGAUCCAGAGGAGGUACAAUGAAUGCAGUGGAGCUUAUGAUCUUGAGCUUUGACUCCAUCAAUGAGAGCACCAUGGACUACAUUGUGACGAUGUUUCUCCGCCAGACCUGGAACGAUAAGAGACUUGCCUUGAAUGGUAUCGUCAACGAGAGUUCAAUCGCCCUGGAUUCCCGGAUGAUAGACAAUAUAUGGGUGCCAGAUCUUUACUUCUACAAUGAGAAGAAGUCACACUUCCAUGAUAUCACUGUGCCUAAUAAAUUGUUGAGAAUCUAUCAAAAUGGAGAUAUUCUCUACAGCUCAAGAAUAACGUUAACGUUAUCAUGUCCAAUGAAGCUCCACAAGUUCCCACUAGACACACAGAUCUGCAGUAUGAUAAUCGAAAGUUAUGCCUACACUGCAGACAAACUAAUGUUCAAAUGGGCUGACAAAGAUCCAAUAAAAUUUAAAAAAGGCUUGGAAUUACCACAGUUUAGUCUGAAAGGAAACAGCACCAAAAGCUGUACAACCACUCUAUCAACAGGUACAUUCACCUGUUUACAAGCCAACUUCAUACUUGAGAGAGCCAUUGGAUUCUAUAUCAUCCAGACCUAUGUGCCGAGCAUUCUGGUUGUUAUUCUCUCUUGGGUCUCCUUUUGGAUCAGCGUUGACGCUGUUCCUGCUAGAAUCUCAUUGGGCGUUCUAACAAUUCUCACCAUGACGACACAAAGUGCCGGAGCGAGACAGACGCUACCCAAAGUAUCCUAUGUCAAGGCUAUUGAUAUAUGGAUGUCCACGUGUCUGUUGUUUGUAUUCGGAGGGUUGAUUGAGUUUGCUGUGGUAAAUGUACUGAGUCGGAAGGAGGUAAGAGCGAGGAUGAGCAUCCGGAGAAAACCAGAGGAACUUAAUAAAAAUGAAUAUGAGAUGGUAGAAAAUGGUAGUAGCAAGAAGGCUCCGACAUACAUCAGAGACCCCGAUGGCAAGGAAAAGGCCCGUUUCGUGGACAAAAUAUCACGUGUAGGGUUCCCAUUGGUGUUUGUUAUAUUCAAUGGGGUAUAUUGGAUAUUUUAUUCAUUAUGGGAAAUAAAUGAAGAAUAGGCUGGAUGGCUCAAAUGGCAGUAGAUUUUGUUGUAGUUAAUACAACAGUCAAAUAGUUUUGCAUUCUAAACGUUUAGACAUGUGAUGUGCUCUUAUUUGUUACAUUGAUAAAAUAUCCAAUGAACCCAACAUGACACCAUGGGUUGGAGACGAUGCAUCAGUAGAAUCUACAAUGUGUCUCUCAUUCGAUUUCGAUUGACACUUAAACUGGGAGUGGGGUCUUGGCAGA